GUCUGGGGAGGGUAAUAUGUAGACGGGCCUUACCCCUACCCGAAAGGGCAGAGAUGCUGUUUGCAAUCGACCCUCGGCUCAGUGAAGGAAAGGAAAAACAAAAAUAAAAACAAAAGAGCAUAAGUAACUCCAGCAGAAAUAGCGUGGCUCAGUGAAGGAAAGGAAAAACAAAAACAAAAACAAAAGAGCAUAAGUAACUCCAGCAGAAAUAGCGUAAAUAAUUAUCUAAAUAUAAGAACCAUAAAUAA
rnacentral:lncRNA from 1 species